UUUGAGUGUUGGCUUGGUCUCUGUUGGCUUGCUACAUAUCUAGAAAGCUCCAUGAUUUGUGCUAAGCUGAAGCGUAUCCAAUUUGGAUUUUCUAGCUCAAAAUAUCAGUAGAUUUGUUGUGGUAGUGCCUUAACAGGAUUUGAGACUUCUCCAUUCAGGAAAAGACAAGUCUGGUAGAUACAAAAAUUACAAGAU